CCUACGGGAGGCAGCAGUGGGGAAUUUUGGACAAUGGGCGAAAGCCUGAUCCAGCAAUGCCGCGUGCAGGAUGAAGGCCUUCGGGUUGUAAACUGCUUUUGUACGGAACGAAACGGUCUUUUCUAAUACAGAGGGCUAAUGACGGUACCGUAAGAAUAAGCACCGGCUAACUACGUGCCAGCAGCCGCGGUAAUACGUAGGGUGCAAGCGUUAAUCGGAAUUACUGGGCGUAAAGCGUGCGCAGGCGGUUAUGUAAGACAGUUGUGAAAUCCCCGGGCUCAACCUGGGAAUUGCAUCUGUGACUGCAUAGCUAGAGUACGGUAGAGGGGGAUGGAAUUCCGCGUGUAGCAGUGAAAUGCGUAGAUAUGCGGAGGAACACCGAUGGCGAAGGCAAUCCCCUGGACCUGUACUGACGCUCAUGCACGAAAGCGUGGGGAGCAAACAGGAUUAGAUACCCUGGUAGUCCACGCCCUAAACGAUGUCAACUGGUUGUUGGGUCUUCACUGACUCAGUAACGAAGCUAACGCGUGAAGUUGACCGCCUGGGGAGUACGGCCGCAAGGUUGAAACUCAAAUGAAAUUGACGG
rnacentral:rRNA from 1 species